UCUCAUGCACAAGCAAAGAAAGUGGUUUCCGGAGAUGGAAACUACUCCUGGUGAAGAUGUUGUGAA
rnacentral:pre_miRNA from 1 species